GAACUGCAGAUUAUUCUUUUGUUGUGUCAAUUAAUAAUUUUGCUCUAUUAUUUCUGCAGAUUUACUAUGGAUCUGUCACUGUUCUCAUCACCAAUUAAAAUAAUUGACAAUAUGGAUCCCAAUGUGUCCCUGAUAUUAUUAUCAGCAACCAAUAGAACACAAGUUCAUUGAUUCCCACCAUUUGAGCUUAGCAAUCCAUCCGUUUUUCAGCACCCAAAACAGUGCUGUGUUCCAGACCUCAGCUUCCAAAUGAGAAUGCAAUGAGAAAUGGUGUUACAAGACCUACCAGCAUCCAACAGUAUCACAGUCACCACUCUCCCCUCAUCCAUACAGACAGCAAUUUCUUUGCAAAAGUCAAGAAGACUGGAUAAGCAUCAUCCUUGAAAAAAAUCAUAUUGACUGCUCCUGGUUUCUGUCCUGUUCUUUACAUCUCAGGAAACAGACUGAUUCCAUUACUUCAAGAUCUGUCUAGGGACAGAGACAGUUGGAAGUUGGAAGGCUGCCAAGCUGAAGGGAAGCGGAAACCAUAUUUUCUGUAAUGCAGUCAACAGUCCUUAAUCAGGCCCAGGACCCUGAGGGCUCUAAGAACAAACCCCAAAUAGUCAAGAUGUUUCUAAGGUAACAUUAAGGAAUUUUUCAACACAAAACAUUUUUGGUUAUGGUUCAAAUAGACUGAAAACCCAAACUAUUCUAUGAUUCUACAAGAAAGAGAGACUCCAUGUUAUUUCAAAGUUAAAGUCAAAGAAUCAAAUAAGACAUCUUUACAAGUAUCCAAUAUGAUGACAUCUAAAAUUUCCAUACAAAAUGCAUGCUUACUUAUACUGAUUUCAGAAAGCUUUGGUUGAUAAGGAACAGUGUAUAGAACCCAAUGCAUCAGACUUGCAUAGUUUAAUACACAAAGGGAGCCUAUUGCUGAAGACUUCUUGCUCCAGCUGCGGGAUGCACCAUGCUCACAGGCUCUUGUCCUGCUGGGGGACUUCACCCACCCUGACAUCUGCCAGAAAAUUAGCACAAUAAACUGUACCAAUCCAAGAGAGUCCUGGAAUGCAUGAAAGAUAAUUUCAUGAGCCAAGUAGUAGAGAACCCUACAAGAGGGAGUGUGUUACUGGAUCUGAUGGUCACCAAUGUAAGCAAGCAGAUUGGGGACAUCAAAACUGAAGGCAGCCUGGGCUACAGGGAUCAUGUACUGUUGGAAUUUGGAGUCCUGAGGGAAAUUUGCUGAUGACACCAAGCUGAUUCCUGUGGCUGACACACCUGGAGGACAGGAUACCAUCCAGAGGUACCUGGACAAGCUCAAGAAACAGAUCCAUGGGAACCUCAGAGGUUUAACAAGACCAAGAGCAAGGUGCUGUACCUAGGUUGGGGCAGCCCCCUGUGUCAAUCCAGGCUAAAGGGAUGAACAGAUUAAAAGCAACCCUUCUGAGAAUGACUUAGGGGUGUUGGUGGACAAGAGGCUGGACAUGAGUUGGCAAUGUGCAGUUGCAGCCCAGAAAGCCAGUCUUUUGGGCUUCAUCAAAAGGAGUGUGAUCAGCAGGUUGAGGGAGGUGAUUCUGCCUCUCUACUCCACUCUGGUGAUAUCCCACCUGGAGUACUGCAUUCAACUCUGGAGUGCCCAGCACAGGAA